rnacentral:rRNA from 1 species
UGGUGGAGUGAUUUGUCUGGUUAAUUCCGUUAACGAACGAGACCUCGUCUUACUAAAUAGCAUGGCAUAUUUACGGAUAUGUACAUGUCUUCUUAGAGGGACUUGUGGUGUGUAGCCACAGGAAGUUCGAGGCAAUAACA